UGCAGAAUAGCAUAAUCAGGAUAGUGCGGAAGAGCUCCCGGGUAAGCUGCUUCAGAUUCCGGUUCGAGUCCGGGUUCUGCCCCAA
rnacentral:tRNA from 2 species